GCAGAGGAGCAUGAAUCCAGUCUGGAUGGGAGCUCAAAAGGAGGUUCUAUCCAAAACGUGUGAUUUCUAAUAAAGGGCAUUUUGUAUGGCUGUGUUAUUAAAGAUUAAGGAAAUAUUUAUAUGUUAGGCUUGGAAUGGAAUCUUUAACUUUGUUAUUUUAUUUGUGAAGAUAUCAGUAUUUUGAAUCAUCUCAAAUUUUUGUUUUAUACUAUUUGUACUAAAUAUUUUGUAUUGUAAUGAUUAUUUAUAUUUCACUGAUGGCUUCAUCAAUUGAUAAUAUAUGUACCAUAUUAAAAAAGAGAGUACUAUUUAAACACAAAAUCUAUUGUUUCAAUACAAGUUUUAUAAAUUAAUGCCUUUAAUGUUCUGUUUUUAAGAGAAGAUGAAAAUUAAUUGUGACAUUUCUGCAUGCUUUCAAUGAAAUAUUAAUACCUAUCAUAUUUAAAAGAUACUAUUACGUCUAAUACUGUCAGUUCUAAUACCUGAGACAAUCAUUUUGUUAGAAAGCAUUUCAAAUGCUUAAUUUUUUAAAAGUUUAGUUAUAUUUAGUACACCUUUCACGUAUCUGUUUGAUAUCCAGAUGUUGUGGUCAACGUCUUUGAGAUAGUUUUCAGUUUUGGCAAGAUUCCAAGAUGACAUCACUAAGAUUAUUGAAGUGACAUAAGACUAUAAAUUAGUUCCUGAUUUUGAAAGACUCAAAUUUCUUCCUUUUUACCUGUUUGAGUUUCCAUUGAAAUGUUAUUGGAACUCUUAAGAUUUGUGUAUCCAGGAAGAAAAUAGUUUGAUUUAUUUGAGUUUGACAUUAAAGUCGUGUUCAAAUAUUGUAUGUGAAAAAAGGGCCAAUUUUCCUUAUCUUUGUCUAUUUUCAAGAUAAACCUUUUACUAUUUUUAGAUGUCACCUAAUUUAACUGAUAAUAUGAUCUAGUUCUGCACUUUGUACUUUCGGUUGUUAGAUAAACACUGCAGACCAAAUGGAAAAGAAUUAUCUAUUUAAUAUUUCUGAGUAGCAUCAUGGGACACUUUAUUUCAUUAGUCAGUUAUUGUGUAUUUGAAAAAAGUGCAAUAUGUUUUGUCUUUGUUUUAAUGUUUUUGUUUGUUUUGAUAUAAAUAAAAAAUCUUCAUAGAAGUUCAAUUU
rnacentral:misc_RNA from 1 species